UACGGAGGUGGCAAGCGUUGCUCGGAAUCAUUGGGCGUAAAGGGCGCGUAGGUGGUUCUGUAUGUCUACCGUGAAAGCGUACGGCUCAACCGUAUUUUGUCGGUGGAAACUGCAGGACUUGAGGCUGGGAGGGGCUGGUGGAAUUCCCUGUGUAGCGGUGAAAUGCGUAGAGAUGGGGGAGAACACUCGUGGCGAAGGCGGCCAGCUAGACCAGUUCUGACACUGAGGCGCGACAGCGUGGGGAGCAAACAGG
rnacentral:rRNA from 1 species